rnacentral:piRNA from 1 species
UAUGUAGAGCAUCAUGUGGGUAC